rnacentral:rRNA from 1 species
AGAAAACGGGUGUGAUAAAUUAUCUAUGCCUUAGUACUUUGCAUGAACUGCUUCUAAUCUACCCUUUUGACAAAUUUGACCUCAAAUCAGGUAGGACUACCCGCUUGAACUUAAGCAUAUCAAUAAGCGGAGGAAAAGAAACUAACAAGGAUUCCCCUAGUAACUGCGAGUGAAGCGGGAAAAGCUCAAAUUUAAAAUCUGGCAGUUGUUCACUGUCCGAGUUGUAAUCUAGAGAAGUGUUACCUGUGCUGGACCGUGUACAAGUCUUCUGGAAUGGAGCAUCAUAGAGGGUGAGAAUCCCGUCUUUGACAUGGACUACCAGUACAUUAUGGUGUGCUCUCAAAGAGUCGAGUUGUUUGGGAAUGCAGCUCAAAAUGGGUGGUAAAUGCCAUCUAAAGCUAAAUAUUGGCGAGAGACCGAUAGCGAACAAGUACCGUGAGGGAAAGAUGAAAAGAACUUUGGAAAGAGAGUUAAACAGUACGUGAAAUUGCUGAAAGGGAAACGCUUGAAGUCAGUCACGUUGGCUAGAAAUCAACCUGGCUUUUGCCUGGUGUACUUUCUGGUUUACGGGUCAGCAUCAAUUUUGACUGCUGGAUAAAGUCACUGGGAAUGUAGCAUCUUUGGAUGUGUUAUAGCCCUAUGUCGCAUACAGUGGUUGGGAUUGAGGAACUCAGCACGCCGCAAGGCCGGGUUUUUAAACCACGUUCGUGCUUAGGAUGCUGGCAUAAUGGCUUUAAUCGACCCGUCUUGAAACACGGACCAAGGAGUCUAACAUGCCUGCGAGUGUUUGGGUGGAAAACCCAUGCGCGUAAUGAAAGUGAAAGUUGAGAUCCCUUUCAAGGGGAGCAUUGACGCCCGGACCAGACCUUUUGUGACGGAUCCGCGGUAGAGCAUGUAUGUUGGGACCCGAAAGAUGGUGAACUAUGCCUGAAUAGGGUGAAGCCAGAGGAAACUCUGGUGGAGGCUCGUAGCGAUUCUGACGUGCAAAUCGAUCGUCAAAUUUGGGUAUAGGGGCGAAAGACUAAUCGA